rnacentral:rRNA from 1 species
CCUACGGGUUGCAGCAGUGGGGAAUAUUGCACAAUGGGCGCAAGCCUGAUGCAGCCAUGCCGCGUGUAUGAAGAAGGCCUUCGGGUUGUAAAGUACUUUCAGCGAGGAGGAAGGCAUUAAGGUUAAUAACCUUAGUGAUUGACCUUACUCGCAGAAGAAGCACCGGCUAACUCCAUGCCAGCAGCCGCGGUAAUACGGAGGGUGCAAGCGUUAAUCGGAAUUACUGGGCGUAAAGCGCACGCAGGCGGUUUGUUAAGUCGGAUGUGAAAUCCCCGGGCUCAACCUGGGAACUGCAUUCGAAACUGGCAAGCUUGAGUCUUGUAGAGGGGGGUAGAAUUCCAGGUGUAGCGGUGAAAUGCGUAGAGAUCUGGAGGAAUACCGGUGGCGAAGGCGGCCCCCUGGACAAAGACUGACGCUCAGGUGCGAAAGCGUGGGGAGCGAACAGGAUUAGAUACCCUGGUAGUC